rfam:Youngiibacter fragilis 232.1 contig_125, whole genome shotgun sequence.
GGACGAAACUCUGGAGAGCCUCAAUUGAGCACCGAAGGAGCAAGCCGGGAAAUCCCGGCGAAUCUCUCAGGUAAAAGGACAGAGCAGAUCUA